UUCAUACUCCCUCCGUUCCAAAAUUCUUGUAUUAGAUUUGCCUAAAUACGGAUGUAUCAAGUCACAUUUUAGUAUUAGAUAUAUCCGUAUCUAGAAAAAUCUAAGACAAGAAUUUUGGGACGGAGGGAGUAUAUG
rfam:Triticum aestivum genome assembly, contig: Triticum_aestivum_CS42_TGACv1_scaffold_621756_7DS